GAUGAACGCUGGCGGCGUGCCUAAUACAUGCAAGUCGAGCGAACGGACGAGAAGCUUGCUUCUCUGAUGUUAGCGGCGGACGGGUGAGUAACACGUGGAUAACCUACCUAUAAGACUGGGAUAACUUCGGGAAACCGGAGCUAAUACCGGAUAAUAUUUUGAACCGCAUGGUUCAAAAGUGAAAGACGGUCUUGCUGUCACUUAUAGAUGGAUCCGCGCUGCAUUAGCUAGUUGGUAAGGUAACGGCUUACCAAGGCAACGAUGCAUAGCCGACCUGAGAGGGUGAUCGGCCAAACUUGAACUGAGACACGGUCCAGACUCCUACGGGAGGCAGCAGUAGGGAAUCUUCCGCAAUGGGCGAAAGCCUGACGGAGCAACGCCGCGUGAGUGAUGAAGGUCUUCGGAUCGUAAAACUCUGUUAUUAGGGAAGAACAUAUGUGUAAGUAACUGUGCACAUCUUGACGGUACCUAAUCAGAAAGCCACGGCUAACUACGUG
rnacentral:rRNA from 1 species